CUCCUCCCCACCCCUCUCCCUCUCUCUCCCACUCGUCUCUCCCUCUCCCUUGCACGAGCAGCUAUGGCGACCUCCCUCGACCCCGCGCCGCUGCGCCACCUCGCCUCCGCCCGCCGGUGCGUGCCGCCACCUCACCAGACCCAAGGAGCCUCGCCGCCUUGUGCUGCCGCCUGCGCCGCGUCGCGCGCCGCCACCUCCCCACAAGCUCGCCGCCCCGCCAUGGAAGCCUCGUCGAGCACCGAGCUCCUCUGCGCCCCGCCCGCGUCGCGGCUGCCGCCCCACGCUGCCUCGCGCCCGGAUCCGGCCGAGGGUGGUCCGGCCACUCUAGAUCCAGCCUCCUCCUCACCGCACGGGCCUCCUCCUUGCCGGAGUGACGCCCCUCGCCGGAGCAGCGCCAACCAAGCCCAUCAGCCACCAGGGUCGUGCUGCAGCCCAUCCGCGAGAUCUCUGGCGCCGUGCAGCUGCCAGGGUCCAAGUCGCUCUCCAACCGGAUCCUCGUCCUCUCCGCCCUCUCCGAGGGAACAACGGUGGUGGAUAACCUGUUGAACAGCGAGGAUGUCCACUACAUGCUCGAGGCCCUGGAAGCCCUUGGACUCUCCGUGGAAGCAAAUAAAGUUGCAAAAGGAGCUGUGGUUGUUGGCUGCGGCGGCAGGUUCCCAGUUGAAAAGGACACCAAAGAGGAAGUAAAGCUCUUCUUGGGUAAUGCUGGAACUGCAAUGCGGCCACUGACAGUAGCUGUAGUUCCUGCUGGUGGAAAUGCAACGUAUGUUUUCUUUAUCCUAGUGGAAAUAAGUAUGAGAUCCAUGGGUAGUUGUGAGAUCUUCUUUUCGUUCAGUACUUGUUGAGGCUGUCAUAAUUUUCUUUUACUUGAAAUUCUGCUUGGAUUUUCUAAUUAUGCAUUUACCCAGAUUAAUGCUUAAAACUAAAGUUGGCCAUUGGAUCUUUUUUGGUUAGGCGAAUUUUAUGUUUGUACAUGCUUGAUAUGAAAGGAGGGGUUUAUUUAAUGAACUACACAUAUGGUUUCACAUUCCACCUGUGUGCUCGCAAUUUAAAUGCAGUAUAUUUUACUCACUAAUACAUCUUGAACAAUCUAAAAAAUAUAUAGCUUGGUUUAUCUUUGUAACUCCUUAGCUGAUUUUUCCAUUUUCCACAUUGUUGUGUCUAUUUUCUCAGUUUGGUCCUGUGUAAAUACUUGUCUUAGGGGUCUCUAUAUUGCAUAUACACGGAAUCUUCAAUUUGUCUCAAAUACUCAGUGGUAAAAACCAGCCAUGCUGGUGGUUCUUAUCAGUGUGAUGGUAUGCUAACUGUUUCUGAUACAAUUCUGCUCUAAAAGCCCUACACUAUUUUUGUCUGUGGAUACGCUGUGCAGACAAAUGCUGAAUUAAAAAGUCAUAACUUUACACUAAUUUAAGAUUGUCUUGAUCUCAAGUGCUGGCUCCUACAGCAUUGCAUUUCACCAAGUGAAAUGCUACAUUUCUACUCCUAACCCAUUCUCUCUUUCUUAGUGUUUUUGUUAUGCAGGUUGGAAGAAAAGAAGAAGAUCCGGAGAAGAUCUUAGUAAUAAGAUAGUUUUUAGGAAAAUAAAUAUUUAGUUUUAGGUCAUUUCUUGUAUUUUCAGAUAUGGAGUGCUUGUCUUUAGUUUUUGUUUUUACUUUGUGAAACUUGCUACCUAUGGAUGAAACUGUGUAAUAUUGAUGAAACAA
rnacentral:rRNA from 1 species